GUGAGCAGAGCCUAGAGGGGCUGGGGGAGGUUUCAGGUCCUAGGCCAGGGCUUCACUUUCCCAGGGGGUUUUCGAGGGAAUGAGAGCCUCUAACAUCCUGGAGGACCACUGAACCCAUCCCGUGUGGGGUCCUUUCCUCUGGGCAUCCCCGAGUGGGCACAGGUCCACGCAAUUGCAUGGAAACACAGUCCCCCGCCCCCCAGUAACUAACCACCCGCGUGGGGGUCAAAGGAUGAGUGGACCCUGGAGGUGACAGGGGUUGGGGAAGAGAAGAGGUGUGGGGCGGGGACCUUGUCUCCAGGGAACAUGCCCAUGAGGGGAGCCACGCCAGGCCGAUGGCCAGGGGACCCCCAGAUACCCCCGUGUGUAUCACAGGCACCCCCAUUCUAGAGAAGCACCCCACUCAGCUCCCGUGGUUGGAGACCUUCGAAUGCGCGACGUGUUCUCAUGCUGUGUCCUGAUACCUCGAGGCUGUGGUCUCAGGAAAGCCCACAGGGAGAGCCUUUUCCCACCUGCAGACGGGGGGUCAGGUCUCACCCCCGAAGGCUGUGGUCAUGUGCCCGGAGGGACGCAAAGGUGACACCGGGAGGCCCAGGACUGGCUGGUCUAGCCUGACACUAGCCUGAUCCGACUUAAAUCAACCGAUGAAAUCGGGAAACGUCUGGCCGAAUCCCGAUUCACCUGCCCUACAGAGUUGUGCGUGUGCCCCGUCGCCCAGGAGAGCCACCCUGGACCCGGGGAGAGAGUGGCUGCACAGAGGUUUUGGGAAGCAGGGCCUGGACUUGGCCUGGGAAGGCCUCCUUCAGCGCCCCGGCGCCGCUGUAAGGUCCUCGUUCACUGGUCCUGGGACCGGUACUUGGAGUCCCCGGAGUCAGAGCCCGAGGAGUCCGCCGCAGGAGCAAAAGCCGGGUGGGCUCCAGAGCCCGGCCCAACGGUAUCGGGGGUCUCGGCGUAUCUGCAGGCAGGCGUGGUAUCUGGAGCGACUCCUGCAGGGACCCGGUUGCCAGCAGGCGACCUGGGACCUGUGCGGGGACAGCGGGCACCUGAGCAGAGUCAGCUGGGUCCUGCUUCUGCUGGUUCCACUGUUCCUGCUUCUGCUCCCAACACUGUUCCUGCCAUCGCCCUUCUCCCCGCCCCUGCCACUGCCCUUGCUCCCACAUGGAUGUCGGCCAAAAAUCAAGGGACUGAAGACCUAUACAGGGUGCCUUUGUUAUUUUCUUUUAUUUUUUGUUUAUGAUACUUUAUUUCAAAUUUAUUCUCCAAUCCCUGAGCCCGACCUCCCACCAAAAUGUCUCUUCCUCUUCUCCCUUAUCCUUUUUCUCUUCUACUUUUAGCUGUUAUUUUAUUUAUUCAUUAGUUAUAAUCUAUAUUAAUCUUCAAUAAAAUGUUUUAUUUA